rnacentral:rRNA from 1 species
AAUGAGCGCUGGCGGCAUGCCUAACACAUGCAAGUCGAACGAAGGCUUCGGCCUUAGUGGCGCACGGGUGCGUAACGCGUGGGAAUCUGCCCUUGGGUUCGGAAUAACAGUUAGAAAUGACUGCUAAUACCGGAUGAUGUCGUAAGACCAAAGAUUUAUCGCCCAAGGAUGAGCCCGCGUAGGAUUAGCUAGUUGGCGGGGUAAAGGCCCACCAAGGCGACGAUCCUUAGCUGGUCUGAGAGGAUGAUCAGCCACACUGGGACUGAGACACGGCCCAGACUCCUACGGGAGGCAGCAGUGGUGAAUAUUGGACAAUGGGCGAAAGCCUGAUCCAGCAAUGCCGCGUGAGUGAUGAAGGCCUUAGGGUUGUAAAGCUCUUUUACCCGGGAUGAUAAUGACAGUACCGGGAGAAUAAGCUCCGGCUAACUUCGUGCCAGCAGCCGCCGUAA